CAAAAACAUUCCAAAACCAUUCAAACUUUAGGGAAAUAACAUAUAACCAAACUAGGGUACAUAGGGGUUCCAAAAGUCACUUUAAAACACUUUUAACAAGUCAAACAAGAACCCAAAAAUCCACCCUUUGGAUUUGGCCGAAAAUUCCCAAAAGCAUGGCACCAAAUUAUAGCUCCAAUAUUCAUGCUCAUAUGAACUACAUCUAUAACAUUUGAGAUGGCAAAUUUUUCUAACAAAAUUUACAUUCAAAGAAACAAGAAUAAAGCUUGUAACAUAUUACAACUUUUAAAUCACAAACUAUGAACUACAAAACCCAAAAGGAUUCACCAACUACUAGACCUAAGCUCUGAUACCACUUGAAGGAUUAUUUUGUGAAAACAUGUUCAUUUGAAUAACAUCUAUAGCAUGCAUUUAACAAUUAAAAGGCG
rnacentral:lncRNA from 1 species